GAGUCUGCGUCUUAUUAGCUAGUUGGUAGGGUAAGAGCCUACCAAGGCUAUGAUAAGUAACCGGCCUGAGAGGGUGAUCGGUCACACUGGAACUGAGAUACGGUCCAGACUCCUACGGGAGGCAGCAGCUAAGAAUCUUCCGCAAUGGGCGAAAGCCUGACGGAGCGACACUGCGUGAACGAAGAAGGUCGAAAGAUUGUAAAGUUCUUUUAUAAAUGAGGAAUAAGCUUUGUAGGAAAUGACAAGGUGAUGACGUUAAUUUAUGAAUAAGCCCCGGCUAAUUACGUGCCAGCAGCCGCGGUAAUACGUAAGGGGCGAGCGUUGUUCGGGAUUAUUGGGCGUAAAGGGUGAGUAG
rnacentral:rRNA from 1 species